UCUAUAUAAAAAGGGAAGGGAGACGGAAGAAAAAAGAAAAGUUGAAGCAAAGCUUGCGAAUAAGACGUUGCAACAAGUUAGUUAGAUGAAGAGGUGGAAUUAAGAAUAUAAUGGUGUACUUGUAUUGUAUCUCCACCAGAUCGUCUCGACAUCAUUCUUAAAGACGCAAGGCAACAAUUAUAUAAACCAUGCAUGAAUGAAUGAAUACCCAAGCCAAACACGCUAUCUAGCUAGCUGCUACCAGAAAUUAAUUUCAAAGUAGAAAAAGAGCAAGUUUUGUCAAGGAUAAAAUGCAAGGUUGACCACGAACUUUAAAGAUUUUUGGGUAUUGAGCUCUUUUCUUUGUUGCUAAAUAUGCGUUGACUUGCUCACGUGACACACGUGGCAUAUCUGAUGUGGGUAUUUGUUACUGCUCAGAUUUCAUCUCCAGACCUCCAACUCAAAAUUUCAACCCAAUGACCACCCGAGCACCAUAUAUAGGUUAGCUGCUUUAUUUCCGCAAGAAUUAUGAUUUAUAACUGAACAAAGAAUUUUUCCCAAAUUAAAAUAAAACCCCUUUUCUUAGAUAUGCAGAUACCAUUAAUAGUGGAGCUAGCUCGGUUGGUCUUUGUUGUUUUACCUAUUAUUUCCUUACUUGUCGUUUUUUCCUAUGUUUAUUGCUGUGAAUUCAUAGGUUGUUUUGAUCCCUUUUCAGAUUUGCUUGCUUUGAAUCUAAUUCUUAGAUUUGUUUUUAAUCUAAGUUCAUUUAUGCUCGUUUUAUCUCCUACUGUUGUCGCAUAUCUGUUCAUGAGUGUUUAUAAACUAGGCUACUGCCGAUUUGUUUGGUUUAAUUGGCCAGAUUCUGGGGAGUAUAUGAUAUGAACUGCUAUUUCUUCCAUUCCCAUUCUGUUAAUUGGCCCACCCUUUUAGAUCUAAUUGAUGGUAAUUGGUGUGGGUGUGAGCAGCUGUUUUAUGUUGUUUAAAUCUGUGUUGAUCUCAUUAUCUUUGUCGGCGUUCAUAGUGGUUUGUUGAUGUUGUGACUGUGCCGGUGCUGGAGUUCGGUCGGAAUUAUGGUAGAUUUGUCGGAGUCUGGCUGGUGGAUUUCUACUGAUGGGUGACUGAUCUGCUGAUGGCUCAUGGGUCCAACGAAAAUUGAUUUGGGUCAAGGAGUCAGUGGAAGAAUUAGGGCCCACGCCUUAUUCCAAUUUUAAAAAUUCAAAUGCUGAUAUCUAGAUGAUUUGGUGGGCAUUGGGGCCCACGGGUUAUUGCUAGCUAAUUCAAAAUUCUAAGAAAUUAACCAUGUUAUAACUGUGUAUUAUGACCUUGCAAAUGAGUCUCACUUCCCAAUUUUCAUCAAAACAAUAUUCUGAAUACAAAGAAUUAAACUACUGAAAUAAAUAAAUAGGAAAAUAAAUAGGAAAAGCAAUGAGCACCAUACCAGCAUAAUUCUAGUUAAAAAAAAUUUUAUUUGGGGAUUUGUUUUGUCUUUUAAUUUGGGGGAAAUGAAUUCUUUUAAUUUGGGAGAAAUAAAUUUUUUUCUUUAUAAAUAUUAAUCUUUGUGAAAUAAUAAUAGCUAAGUUGAGUUGCUUGGGUGGUCAUUGGACUAAAGUUUUAAGUUGGUUGUUUUAAGUUACAUAUUUUUGGAAUAAAUUUCCAAAAUGGCCAUGUAAACUCGUCUCUGUAUAAAAUAAAAUAA
rnacentral:lncRNA from 1 species